rnacentral:rRNA from 1 species
GGCGGACGGGUGAGUAAUGCCUGGGAAAUUGCCCUGAUGUGGGGGAUAACCAUUGGAAACGAUGGCUAAUACCGCAUAACGUCUACGGACCAAAGAGGGGGACCUUCGGGCCUCUCGCUUCAGGAUAUGCCCAGGUGGGAUUAGCUAGUUGGUGAGGUAAUGGCUCACCAAGGCGACGAUCCCUAGCUGGUCUGAGAGGAUGAUCAGCCACACUGGAACUGAGACACGGUCCAGACUCCUACGGGAGGCAGCAGUGGGGAAUAUUGCACAAUGGGCGCAAGCCUGAUGCAGCCAUGCCGCGUGUAUGAAGAAGGCCUUCGGGUUGUAAAGUACUUUCAGUCGUGAGGAAGGCGUUGAAGUUAAUAGCUUCAUCGUUUGACGUUAGCGACAGAAGAAGCACCGGCUAACUCCGUGCCAGCAGCCGCGGUAAUACGGAGGGUGCGAGCGUUAAUCGGAAUUACUGGGCGUAAAGCGCAUGCAGGUGGUUUGNUAAGUCAGAUGUGAAAGCCCGGGGCUCANCCUCGGAACCGCAUUUGAAACUGGCAGGCUAGAGUACUGUANAGGGGGGGUAGAANUU